CUUGCCCUUCGAAUAACCAGAAGGCGAGAUGCAAGUCCGACGCCGUUUGGUUCAGACAGGGGCAUAUAGUGUUUCGAAGCAAUCUGAGGGUGAUGAGCUUUCAAUUCUUCAUCCUCAAUUAAGUUUUUUUAUACUUAGCUUCGAAAAUGC
rnacentral:snoRNA from 11 species